AACGAACGCUGGCGGCAGGCCUAACACAUGCAAGUUGAACGCCCGUAGCAAUACGGGAGUGGCAGACGGGUGAGUAACGCGUGGGAACGUGCCCUUCGGUUUGGAAUAACUCAGGGAAACUUGAGCUAAUACCAAAUACGUCCGUAAGGAGAAAGAUUUAUCGCCGAAGGAUCGGCCCGCGUCGGAUUAGCUAGUUGGUGAGGUAACAGCCCACCAAGGCGACGAUCCGUAGCUGGUCUGAGAGGAUGAUCAGCCACACUGGGACUGAGACACGGCCCAGACUCCUACGGGAGGCAGCAGUGGGGAAGUAUUGGACAAUGGGCGAAAGCCUGAUCCAGCCAUGCCGCGUGAGUGAAGAAGG
rnacentral:rRNA from 1 species